CGGACGGGUGAGUAAUGUCUGGGAAACUGCCCGAUGGAGGGGGAUAACUACUGGAAACGGUAGCUAAUACCGCAUAACGUCGCAAGACCAAAGAGGGGGACCUUCGGGCCUCUUGCCAUCGGAUGUGCCCAGAUGGGAUUAGCUAGUAGGUGGGGUAAAGGCUCACCUAGGCGACGAUCCCUAGCUGGUCUGAGAGGAUGACCAGCCACACUGGAGCUGAGACACGGUCCAG
rnacentral:rRNA from 1 species